rnacentral:rRNA from 1 species
AUUGAACGCUGGCGGCAUGCUUUACACAUGCAAGUCGAACGGUAACAGGCCUUCGGGUGCUGGCGAGUGGCGAACGGGUGAGUAAUGCAUCGGAACGUGCCCAGGGUAGGGGGAUAACGCAGCGAAAGCUGUGCUAAUACCGCAUGUGAUCUGAGGGUGAGAGCGGGGGACCAGGCAGCAAUGUUUGGCCUCGCGCCUUUGGAGCGGCCGAUGUCAGAUUAGGUAGUUGGUGGGGUAAAGGCCUACCAAGCCGACGAUCUGUAGCUGGUCUGAGAGGACGAUCAGUCACACUGGAACUGAGACACGGUCCAGACUCCUACGGGAGGCAGCAGUGGGGAAUAUUGGACAAUGGGCGAAAGCCUGAUCCAGCCAUGCCGCGUGUGUGAAGAAGGUCUUCGGGUUGUAAAGCGCUUUUGGUUGGAAGGAAGAGGAUUUGGCUAAUACCUUGCUCUGUUGACGGUACCGUAAGAAUAAGCACCGGCUAACUACGUG